GAUGAACGCUGGCGGCGUGCUUAACACAUGCAAGUCGAACGAAGCACUUUAUUUGAUUUCCUUCGGGACUGAUUAUUUUGUGACUGAGUGGCGGACGGGUGAGUAACGCGUGGGUAACCUGCCUUGUACAGGGGGAUAACAGUUGGAAACGGCUGCUAAUACCGCAUAAGCGCACGGCAUCGCAUGAUGCAGUGUGAAAAACUCCGGUGGUAUAAGAUGGGCCCGCGUUGGAUUAGCUAGUUGGUGAGGUAACGGCCCACCAAGGCGACGAUCCAUAGCCGACCUGAGAGGGUGACCAGCAACAUUGGGACUGAGACACGGCCCAGACUCCUACGGGAGGCAGCAGUGGGGAAUAUUGCACAAUGGGCGAAAGCCUGAUGCAGCGACGCCGCGUGAGCGAAGAAGUAUUUAGGGAUGUAAAGCUCUAUCAGCAGGGAAGAUAAUGACGGUACCGGACGAAGAAGCACCGGCUAAAUACGUG
rnacentral:rRNA from 1 species